rnacentral:rRNA from 1 species
UACGAAGGGGGCUAGCGUUGUUCGGAAUUACUGGGCGUAAAGGGCGCGUAGGCGGCGUGUCAAGUCAGGCGUGAAAGCCCCGGGCUCAACCUGGGAACCGCGCUUGAGACUGGCAUGCUCGAGUUCGGGAGAGGAUGGUGGAAUUCCCAGUGUAGAGGUGAAAUGCGCAGAUAUCAGGAGGAACACCGGUGGCGAAGGCGGUUCUCUGGGCAUGA